rnacentral:lncRNA from 1 species
UCUUCUUUCAACAUUAUCAACCGCCUCUUUCUCUCUCUAUUCUUUUCCUUCACUGCUUCACACCGAAACCCUAGCCUCCGUGUUCCUUUGGCUUGAAGCUUCUACAUCUCAUUUUCUAUGAAAACAUACGCUUGUGCUUGAAUCGACUGAUAAAGGAAACACGCUUUGCCCUUUCCAAUUCCUGCUCUCAAACCCUACUGUCCGAAUACACAUCUUCCCCUUCACGUUUCCUGCCGAUCAAUCGAUUUAUCAAUCCUAUAAUAUACUAAUCUCAUCAAUGUUGAAAGCCAUCAUCAAUUUGGUGUAGAUGGGUAUUCAAGAAAAUAAAGGCAUAAGUGGGAGUUUGGGUUCGUUUCUUACUCGCAGAUGCUUUGGUUGUCUUAUGAGGGGCUACUUAGAAGGUGAGUAAUUAAUGGUUAUUUUGGAAACUUUGCACUAAUUUUCUUGCUAAAUGGUCAUGACGAUGUUGAUUUGUGAGGUUUUGGUGUGUGCUGCCUCCUUUAGAAGAAGAGGAUGUUCCUCAACUAUACCCAAAAGGGCCAAAUCUUGGUGAGUGAGCUUGAGAAACAGUUGAAAAUGGAGAUAAAAUCAAGAAACAGAGCCAGAGCCGAAAAGAUCUGUCUAAUGAGAAUAAGAGUCAGAAAGAAAGAUGGAGCUGAAGAUCUUUUAAAAAAGAAGAUGACAAUGGGACAUUUGUCACGGAUAUCUUAAGCUUGAAAAUACACUGUUGGAAGUGCAGCUCCUCGUGUUAAAAAUACUUAAAAUAUGUGAUUUUGGGUAUUCAAAGUUUGAUCACAAAUGUUGCAGCCGCUCCUCUCACCGAUCGACCUGAUCACAAGUGCAGGAUUCCGGCGACAUUCGAUUAGGAUUCCGGUUAGGUCAAUUUGAAUUCAGCGAGUGGUUGCAAUUGAUAAGAUUUGAUUAGCAUGGAACAUCGAAAGGAUGAGGUUGUUGAGAGGAUCAACUUUAGAUCAUAAAAUGAUGCACUCAUAGCUGCGACUUCAAGAUGGAAAGGUUGAACAUGAUCAUACAAGAGAUGGUGAAAGAAAAAGAAGAGAAAGAAAGGUUGAACGGAAGGAUGACAAAUGUUGAACGAUGCUAAAAAUUAGGUAUCAAAACGUCUAAUCAUCGAGUUGGUUAUAAGCACUUUAUUUUGGAUAUGUAUUUUGUUCGGAGAACUCAUGUAUUUAAUUUGAUGUUUUAAGUGGAAUGCUU